ACCCUUUGUGACUACCUAUAACUGUUGCUUCGGCGGGUAGGGUCUCCGUGACCCUCCCGGCCUCCCGCCCCCGGGCGGGUCGGCGCCCGCCGGAGGAUAACCAAACUCUGAUUUAACGACGUUUCUUCUGAGUGGUACAAGCAAAUAAUCAAAACUUUUAACAACGGAUCUCUUGGUUCUGGCAUCGAUGAAGAACGCAGCGAAAUGCGAUAAGUAAUGUGAAUUGCAGAAUUCAGUGAAUCAUCGAAUCUUUGAACGCACAUUGCGCCCGCCAGCAUUCUGGCGGGCAUGCCUGUUCGAGCGUCAUUUCAACCCUCAAGCUCUGCUUGGUGUUGGGGCCCUACAGCUGAUGUAGGCCCUCAAAGGUAGUGGCGGACCCUCCCGGAGCCUCCUUUGCGUAGUAACUUUACGUCUCGCACUGGGAUCCGGAGGGACUCUUGCCGUAAAACCCCCCAAUUUUCCAAAGGUUGACCUCGGAUCAGGUAGGAAUACCCGCUGAACUU
rnacentral:rRNA from 1 species